AGCCCCAGCCCCGGGAGUCCCAGGUGUUCCCAUUCUGUGAUCAGGACAGAACACAGACAUCUCACCAUGGACUUUGUGCUUGGCUGGGUUUUCCUUGUUGCUGUUUUAAAAGGUGUCCAGUGUGAGGUGCAGCUGGUGGAGUCUGGGGGAGGCCUGGUGAAGCCUGGAGGGUCCCUGAGACUCUCCUGUGCAGCUUCCGGAUUCACCUUCAGUAGCUACGGCAUGGGCUGGGUCCGCCAGGCUCCAGGGAAGGGGCUGGAGUGGGUUGGAUAUAUUAAUAGUGGUGGAAGUACAGGCUACGCAGACUCCGUGAAGGGCCGAUUCUCCAUCUCCAGAGACAACGCCAAGAACACACUGUAUCUACAGAUGAACAACCUGAGAGUCGAAGACACGGCCACGUAUUUCUGUGCGAGAGACACAGUGAGGAGUGAUCAGUGUGAGCCCAGACACAAAUCUCCCUGGAGAAGGGGAUCAGCACCACUAUGGGGUGCACACUAUGCACAGCUCUGGUGCCCCCCGUUCCCAGAAAGCGAGAGGAAAAAACUGCACUUCAGCAGUCCUGGCGCCAUCCCUGGUGACAAGGGUUGGUGGCUCUGCGGCCCCAUCCCUGGCGGUGGCGGCCGGAUGGCACUCGUGGCGCAUGUUGGCAGCGCAGACUCUGUGGACCUGAAGUUGCUACUUCCCCGCACGCACUUGGGCUGUAUAGGUGUUUGA